AUACGGAGGGUGCGAGCGUUAAUCGGAAUUACUGGGCGUAAAGCGUGCGUAGGCGGUUUGCUAAGUCAGAUGUGAAAGCCCCGGGCUUAACCUGGGAACUGCAUUUGAUACUGGCAGACUAGAGUAUGAUAGAGGGGGGUAGAAUUCCUGGUGUAGCGGUGAAAUGCGUAGAUAUCAGGAGGAAUACCAGUGGCGAAGGCGGCCCCCUGUAUCAAUACUGACGCUGAGGUACGAAAGCGUGGGGAGCGAACAGGAUUAGAAACCCCAGUAGUCC
rnacentral:rRNA from 1 species